CAAAGCACAUGUCAUCAAAUGCUCUGGGAUUCCUUUUGCCAAACAUUUGCACUAUGGAGGUCCAGGAAGUGUGCAGAGACUUCUUUCCUCCACAUCCGACUGUUUUAACCUUCUUUAACUGCUGCUUUUCAUCAUGAGUGAGCAGUUUCCAGCACUGAGGAGAGAGAGAGAGCACAACAGGACACAAAGGAGGAGGAAGAGAAAAACUGACGCAGAUAAAGAAGAGAGGAUAACUCAACCCAGGAGAAGAAGACUGAAAGGGAGACGUAGUGAUGGCUGAGGCACCUCAGCAGCAGCAGCAGCAGAAGGAGGAAGAGGAGGAGGAGCAGGUGAGCACUUCAGAGUCGACGGAGAGUGAUGAAGGCUCUGAGGAACUGAAGGAGAGUGUCCAGACGACCCCGACCCGACCUAUGCUGUCCAUGAGGUCCAUGAGCUGUGUGGACCCAGACGACGACUCCCCCAACAUGAUCGUCUACAGAAAGAUUGAGGACAUCAUCACUCUCAUCCAGGAUGAGACGGAGGGCGUGCCCAUCAGAACCGUCAAAAGUUUCAUGACCAAGAUCCCCAGUGUCGUCACAGGUACAGAUAUUGUGGCGUGGCUGAUGAAGAACCUGUGCAUGGAGGAUCCAGCAGAGGCCAUGCACAUCGGGAGUCUCAUCGCAGCUCAGGGGUACUUCUUCCCCAUCUCCGACCACGUCCUCUCCCUCAAAGACGACGGCACUUUCUACCGCUUUCAGGCGCCGUAUUUCUGGCCGUCCAACUGUUGGGAGCCUGAGAACACAGACUACGCUAUUUACCUGUGCAAGCGGACCAUGCAGAACAAGACCAGGCUGGAGCUGGCCGAUUACGAGGCGGAGAACUUAGCCAGGCUGCAGAGAGCCUUUGCCAGGAAGUGGGAGUUUAUCUACAUGCAAGCUGAGGCCCAGGUCAAGAUCGACAGGAAAAAGGAUAAAACCGAGAGGAAGAUCCUCGACAGCCAGGAGAGAGCCUUCUGGGACGUCCACAGACCCGUGCCUGGAUGUGUUAACACGACAGAGAUGGACAUCAGGAAAUGUAGACGCAUGAAGAACCCUCAUAGAGUUAAGAAGUCGGUGUACGGUUUGGCGGAGGAGGGAACACAGUCUCAGAGUCCCAUACAUACUCCCUCGCACCACUGCAGGAAAGGCACCAAGGAGGAUGUGGAGAAGGAGAUCUUAUUCCUGAACUCCCAGGUUGAUCGUCACCGUAUGAAGAUGUCUAAAGUUGCUGACAGUCUGAUAAGCUACACUGAGCAGUACAUGGACUAUGACCCGUUUGUGACGGCACAGGAUCCACCAAACCCCUGGAUCAGCGACGACCCCUCCCUCUGGGAUCUGGAGGCCAGUAAGGAGCCCAGUCAAGCGCGGGUGAAGAAGUGGGGUUUCUCUCUGGAGGAGGCCCUGAAGGAUCCAGCAGGACAGGAGCUCUUCCUCAAGUUCGUGGAGUCAGAGUUUAGCUCAGAAAACCUGCGGUUCUGGUUGGCGGUGCAGGACCUGAAGAGGAUGCCCCAGCAGGAAGUGCCGCAGAGGGCGCAGGACAUUUGGACAGAGUUCCUGGCGGAGGGAGCGCCCAGCUCCAUCAACCUGGACUCCCACAGCUACGAACGCACGAGCCAGAACCUGAAAGACCCCGGACGAUACAGCUAUGAGGACGCACAGGACCACAUCUACAAGCUGAUGAAAAGUGACAGCUAUUCACGCUUCCUGCGCUCCAACGUGUACCAGGACCUGCUGAUGGCAAGGAAGAAACCCGAAACGGAGCAGGGGCGACGCACCUCCCUGGAGAAGUUCACUCGCAGUGUGGGCAAGUCACUGACGGGCAAACGACUGACGGGCCUCAUGCAGUCGUCCUGACCAGGCCUGGAUGAAGAGUAGGUGGAACCAUACCCAGAAGAGCUGCUUACCCCCGGGGAGCAGAUGGAAAAGGACCCUGGGGUGUUUGGGUGUGGCUGUGGGAGGCGGAUGAAGGCGCCCAAAGAGCGUAGACCGACGGACUGGACCGCCACCACGUUUGAAACUCACCUCAGAUCAGUUCAAGAGGACUGACAGCAUGCAAUAAGUCACCAGACCUGACACCAGGACAGUGCUGUCACAGUGUAGAGGAUAAACAAUGCUACUCUUCUUCGGAGGUUUCUACUCAAAAAGCCUGCACCACGCCAGGCUUUGUUGUUUCUCUCUUGUUGUUUUUCUCUACUAUCUACACUCAUGUUAAUAUGGUAGCUGACGGGGCUAUCGCUUUACUUUCGGUGAUAUAAACAUGGAAUGCUUGAAUGCAAAUGAGACUUAGAUUAAUGCUGUAGCUAGCUGUUUUAUCUCACUUCAUUCACUGGGAUGAUAUAAGGGAAAGAGGGAUGAAGAGUAAACACGCCGCACUCUUUGAGCUGAACUUCUGCUCAGUCUUCACACUGAUGGUCGUCACACUUCCUGCUUUAAUGGUGGAACAGAUGGAGUAGUAGUACACCAACUUUUUAGCUUUUUGAUCACUCUGCUGAUGUGGGAUGACACAAGAUUCACAACCUCUGUGUGUCCAGUAGUAAUUUAGCUGGUUUACAAUGUAUGUUUAACCUAAUGCCUGUUUUUAUGCUCAUUACAGAAUGAUUAAAACCACAGAUGGCAAUUUGCAUAAUUUCUCCUGUAAACACCAUGACCUGCUCUGGUACAGAAAGACGUUCCUGGAAAGCAGGUAAACAGGAAAUUAUUGUUUUUUAUUAUUUUAGCAGCUGUUUUUGGAGUGUCACAGUUCUGGCAAAAAGAAUAUGUUCUCCAUUUGUUUCUUAGAUUAUCUCACAUGAUCACAGAAAAAUUCUAAUUUCAUGGAUUAUCACUGCCACUGUCUGUUUUUAACAAGCAUUUCUCCAAAGCUUUGCAACAACCGCACUGAACAGACAGAGGUGUGAUCUUGUUGUCAUAAAAGGGUAAGGGCAGUUUGGUAAUUUUACAAAAAAACAAGUGUAUAACUUUAAACGAGCGAGCUGAUAUAAUGUAAGGCUUUAUUCUAUCUUCUGAACAUUCCACUUCAGGCGGUCACAACAAGGUUUUAGUGGGCUGACCAUUCUUCACCUUAUGUAAAGAGGACCAUGGAGCUGCAAAGAAAUUGACCUUUACAUCACACGAAAUGGGGAAAUCGAAAUGUAAUCCAUCAGAUCUCUAAAGUUCACAGUCCACAUCUGUUUCUGUACAGAGAAGGCAGUCAUACCCGGAUAUCCUCCGACGUAGAUGGGGUCGUUGGUGUCACACGUGUUGGAGCGAGCGUUAGGACUCUCUGCUUGGCUCUGCUGCUCAUCGACCACCAGCUCCACCUUGUGGCGAAGCUUCUUGG